rfam:TPA: Bos taurus chromosome 16, whole genome shotgun sequence.
UCCCUGGUGGUCCAGUGAUUAGGACUUGGUACUUUCACUGCUAGGGCCUGGGUUCAGCCCCUGGUCAGGGAA